rnacentral:rRNA from 1 species
ACCGUGAGGGAAAGGUGAAAAGUACCCCGGAAGGGGAGUGAAAUAGUUUCUGAAACCAUAUGCUUACAAGCAGUCGAAGCUCAAUUUAUUGAGUAACGGCGUGCCUAUUGAAGAAUGAUCCGGCGAGUUACGAUUAAUGGCAAGGUUAAGCGAUGAAGAUCGUGGAGCCAAAGCGAAAGCAAGUCUGAAUAGGGCGUUAAGUCGUUAGUUGUAGACCCGAAACCUAGUGAGCUACCCAUGUGCAGGGUGAAGCGAGGGUAAAACCUCGUGAAGGCCCGAACCUUCUAGCGUUGCAAAGCUAUUGGAUGACGUGUGGGUAGAGGUGAAAUGCUAAUCGAACUAGGAGAUAGCUGGUUCUCCCCGAAAUGCGUUUAGGCGCAGCCUCAAGUGUUCUGUAAUGGAGGUAGAGCUCUGGUUGGACUAGGGGGCAUAACGCUUACCAAAUCCAUCCAAACUGCGAAUGCCAUUACACUAGAACUUGGGAGUGAGACUACGAGGGCUAAGCUUCGUGGUCGAAAGGGAAACAGCCCAGAUCUUCAGCUAAGGUCCCUAAAUCCAUGCUAAGUGGGAAAGGAUGUUUGAUCGCUCAGACAGCCAGGAUGUUGGCUUAGAAGCAGCCACCAUUUAAAGAGUGCGUAAUAGCUCACUGGUCAAGUAGUCGAGCGCCGACAAUGUAACGGGGCUUAAGCAUGGUACCGAAGCUAAGACAUUUUGUUUACAAAAUGGGUAGGGGAGCGUUCUGUUUUCAUUGAAGUCAGAGGAGUGAUUCCUGGUGGAGGAAACAGAAGUGAGAAUGCCGGAAUGAGUAGCGUAAUUCAGGUGAAAAACCUGGACGCCGAAAGCCCGAGGUUUCCUACGUAAAGUUAAUCUGCGUAGGGUUAGGCGGGCCUAAGUCGAGGGCGAAAGCCGUAGACGAUGGACAGCAGGUUAGUAUUCCUGCCCCACCAAAGGCGUGUUAUGCAAAGGGAUGACCCAGGAGGAUAGGUGUAUCGAACCAAUGGACAUGGUUCGUUCUUUAAUCGUAGGCGUCUGAGAGCAGGCAAAUCCACUCUCAGGUUAAGCGGAGGAUUAGAGAGAAGUGGAGACGUCAGUCAAAGCGACUAUGCUGAAUCCAUGCUGGCUAGAAAAGUCUCGUUGUUAAUGCUUUUGGUGUCCGUACCGUAAACCGACACUGGUGGGCGACGAUAAGUAUCGUAAGGCGAUCGAGAGAACCUUCGUUAAGGAACUCGGCAAAUUAGCUCCGUAACUUAGGGAUAAGGAGCGCCUUUAAUGGUGAUCAAACUUGCUUUGUGAGCUAUUGAAGGUCGCAGUGAGCAGGCUCAGGCGACUGUUUAACAAAAACACAGGUCUCUGCUAACCAGAAAUGGGAUGUAUAGGGGCUGACGCCUGCCCAGUGCCGGAAGAUUAAGGGGAUUGCUUAACGGCUUGAACUUAAGUCCAGGUAAACGGCGGCCGUAACUAUAACGGUCCUAAGGUAGCGAAAUUCCUUGUCGGGUAAGUUCCGACCCGCACGAAUGGCGUAACGAUCUGAGCACUGUCUCGACGAAGGACUCGGCGAAAUUGCAUUGUGCGUGAAGAUGCGCACUACCUGCAGCUGGACAAAAAGACCCCGUGGAGCUUUACUGCAACUUGGCGUUGGAGGCUGGCCGUUGAUGCGUAGGAUAGGUGGGAGGCUUUGAUUUAAUGGUUUCGGUCAUUAAUGAGCCGUUGGUGAAAUACCACUCUUCUGCGUUUAUCCUCCUAACUUGUGUGC